GCCGCAGUAAUUUGACUGUGCAAAGGUAGCAUAAUCAUUAGUUUUUUAAUUAGAAGCUAGAAUGAAUGGUUGGACGAGAUAUAAUCUGUCUUUGGAUAAAAAAUAGAAUUUAAUUUUUAAGUUAAAAAGCUUAAAUAAAAAUAAAAGACGAGAAGACCCUAUAGAUUUUUAUAAUAUUGKUUAUAUUAUAGAUUAAGAUUAUUUUAUUUAUUAUAUUUAAUAUUAUUUUAUUGGGGUAAUAGGGAGAUUAAAUUAAUUCUCUUAAGUAUUUUACAAUAAUGUUUGAUUUAUUUGAUCCUUUAUUAAAGAUUAAAAGAUUAAGUUACCUUAGGGAUAACAGCGUAAUUUUUUUGAAGAGUUCAUAUCGAUAAAAAAGUUUGSGACCUCGAUGUUGGAUUAAAAAUUAUUCUAGGAGUAGAAGUUUAGAAUUUUGGUCUGUUCGACCAUUAAAUUUUUACAUGAUCUGAGUUCAGACCGGUGUAAGCCAGGUCGGUUUCUAUCUUUAUUUAAUGAAUAUAUUUUAGUACGAAAGGACCAAAUAUUUAAUAUAUUAAUAUUUAUUUUUUGAAUAAUAUUAUUACUUUGGCAGAUUAGUGUAAUAAAUUUAGAAUUUAUGUAUGUAAGUAUUUUACAAGUAAUAUUGUUUUAUUUAGAUUUAUUGAUUUCUUUAAUUUGUAUAUUAUUAUUGGUAGUAUGUGUUUUAGUUGGAGUAGCUUUUUUGACUUUA
rnacentral:rRNA from 1 species